GCCGAGGUUCCCGAGUGGUCAAAGGGAGCAGACUGUAAAUCUGUUGGCGCAAGCCUUCGUAGGUUCGAAUCCUACCCUCGGCACCA
rnacentral:tRNA from 1 species